CUGAGACGGAUGCCUUGCCGGGGUUUAGAGAAACUUCAGCUCUAUUUGAGAUUUACCCCACUGUGGCAGCCGCACACACUUGGGGUCACCUCUGGUCCGGCAAGGCAGUAAAGUGUUAUUCCGACAGCUCAUCAGCUUGCGAUAUCAUCAACAAAGGGCGCUCAUCCUCUCUUACCAUUAUGCGGCUGAUUCGCAAGCUGACCUGGUUGGCAGCAACCGUCCAGUUCCACCUAAUUUGCCUUCACAUCCCGGGAAUUCACAACACGGCUGC